UCAGGAUGAACGCUAGCUACAGGCUUAACACAUGCAAGUCGAGGGGCAGCAUGGCUUAGCUGCUAAGACUGAUGGCGACCGGCGCACGGGUGAGUAACGCGUAUCCAACCUGGCCCUUAGUAGGGAACAGCCCGGCGAAAGUCGGAUUAAUGCCCUAUGUUUACCAAUGAUGGCAUCUGACUUGGAACAAAGAUUCAUCGCUAAGAGAUGGGGAUGCGUCUGAUUAGCUUGUCGGCGGGGUAACGGCCCACCGAGGCGACGAUCAGUAGGGGUUCUGAGAGGAAGGUCCCCCACAUUGGUACUGAGACACGGACCAAACUCCUACGGGAGGCAGCAGUGAGGAAUAUUGGUCAAUGGGCGUAAGCCUGAACCAGCCAAGUAGCGUGCCAGGAAGACUGCCCUAUGGGUUGUAAACUGCUUUUAUGCGGGAAUAAAGUCAGGUACGCGUACCUGUUUGUAUGUACCGCAUGAAUAAGGACCGGCUAAUUCCGUGCCAGCAGCCGC
rnacentral:rRNA from 1 species